UUUCUGGCCUCAAGUCAAAGGCCUGCCCUUGAAUGGAGUUCCUGGGUUUCUGAGGAAAUUAUCACUCAGUAUUCUACCAGCAAUGUCUCUGUUAACCUCAAAAAUCAGUGGUAGUUUUGUUGUGACCAAGGUGUGGAGUGGAAGAGAAAGAGAAAGGAAGAGUGAAUUAAACCUAUUAAUAUCCUGUGGAUUUACUAUUCUGCAAACACACUUCAGGAGAUUCUGAUCAGGAGGUUCCACCACAGGCUGACAAAUCAUUAGGACAGUGUCCCUUAGCGAACAAGAACUUGUACAUGAAGAAAUGGAGAUGAUGCACAUCAUUGGUGUGUUAAUAGGCCAUUGUGGUUUCCUGUCAGUGUGUUUCUCAGAAGAUUGGCCAUGUGGACAGAAAGAUGCAGUAGAGAGAUCAUGAGAUUUGGAAUCAGGAAAACGCCUGGGUUCUAGUCUAGACUCUGCUAUUCCUGGCUUUGUGACUCACAGCAAUUUGCUUCAUCUCUCCGAUCCAAGUUUCCUGUAAAUAUCUUCUAAAGUAGUGACAUAAAUGUCACUUUCAAAUACUUGAACGAAACUCUCAAAUAUAGUUAGGGACGGAUUCAUAAAGAGGUGGAGCCUGAAGAAGAGCCAUAGCAUUUGAAUUGAUGGAAAUGAAAGAAACAGAC